GUGGGGAAUCUUAGACAAUGGGGGAAACCCUGAUCUAGCCAUGCCACGUGAUCGAUGAAGGCCUUAGGGUUGUAAAGAUCUUUCAGGUGGGAAGAUAAUGACUGUACCACCAGAAGAAGCCCCGGCUAACUCCGUGCCAGCAGCCGCGGUAAUACGGAGGGGGCUAGCGUUGUUCGGAAUUACUGGGCGUAAAGCACACGUAGGCGGAUUGGAAAGGUGGGGGUGAAAUCCCGGGGCUCAACCCCGGAACUGCCUUCAAAACUCCCAGUCUUGAGUUCGAGAGAGGUGAGUGGAAUUCCGAGUGUAGAGGUGAAAUUCGUAGAUAUUCGGAGGAACACCAGUGGCGAAGGCGGCUCACUGGCUCGAUACUGACGCUGAGGUGCGAAAGCGUGGGGAGCAAACAGGAUUAGAAACCCCUGUAGUCC
rnacentral:rRNA from 1 species